GCUCCCUCCCCAGCAGUUCCCCCACCUCCCCAAACACGCUCAAGGAACUGCUCCCACAGCCCCGAAUAGGUACGGCCCCCUACACUCGGAACUGACGUCAAAGAGCGAGAGAUGAACUCGGAGAGCGCUAGAGCGCAAGCGCAAGAAAGUGCAAGAGGCUGACUCAGAGCAGGACGCAUGCGUACAGCAGGCAAAAGACUUGACCGGGUUUCUGUGCCUCUGAAUCCACAUCUGCAAAAUGGAAACAGAGCUGUGUCACCAAGCUAUUGGACUUUUUAAUGUUAAACAGAACACUUUAUAUCAAUUAAACAUUCUGUGACUCCAAAUACUAACCCUACCUGCUCAUCAUAUACAGUAUGUGCAAUUAAGUAGGGAUUGGACUUCUAUGGGGUAAUUUGGGCCUGCAAAGGCCUUAAAAUCGCCCUGUAAGAAAAGAGCUUUGCACAGAUCCUGGCCCACUUGUUAGCUAGUGUACUAGGCCCUAUGAGACAUCUGUCUCCCAGAACUUUCUCAUAGGUUGGGUAGGGCCUGCUGUCCUCAAUUUGGGUUCCAGUGUGCCACGGAGCUUGGCAAGUAACACAUUGGUUAGUGCAUACUUCUAGGAGGCAUAGCUGGGAAGUGAAGAAUCUUAGGUCCCCCUAAGUCUGUGAGAGUGAUGCAGAGGCAAGUAUGGCUCAGAGGCGGGCCUUAGGUUCCCCAGAGGUAAACCUAAUACUGGAACUCGACCUCAGCUAAUGGGUUUUCCGCUUGGAACUUGCUGUUCUGUAUUCCUUCUUCAUGGGCUUCCCCCAUCACAGCCCUGACCAUUUUAGUGUCUUACUGUCUGGUGAUAGGUCUGUCUCCUCCACUGCACAGAGCGCCCCACCAGGGAAAAGACCGGGACUGUCCCAGUCAUCACUGUGUAGCUAACACUGCCCAGCCAAAGUUCUGGCACAGAGUAUGCUCUUGCAGAUUUUUUGUUUCAAGAAUUAACCCGGGGCGCCUGGGUGGCUCAGUCCGUUAAGCGUCUGACUUCAGCUCAGGUCACGAUCUCACAGUCCAUGAGUUCGAGCCCCACGUCGGGCUCUGGGCUGAUGGCUCAGAGCCUGGAGCCUGCUUCUGAUUCUGUGUCUCCCUCUCUCUCUGCCCCUCCCCUGUCUCUCUCUGUCUCAAAAAUAAAUAAACGUU